AUUGAACGCUGGCGGCAGGCCUAACACAUGCAAGUCGAGCGAGAGGCGGACGGGCGAGUAGUGUAUGGGGAUCUGCCCGAUAGAGGGGGAUAACUACGGGAAACGGUGGCUAAUACCGCAUACUAUCGUAUGAGCCCAUAUGGGAUUAGCUAGUGGGUGGGGUAAAGGCUCACCAAGGCGACGAUCUCUAGCUGGGCUGAGAGGAUUAUCAGCCACACUGGGACUGAGACACGGCCCAGACUCCUACGGGAGGCAGCAGUGGGGAAUAUUGCGCAAUGGGCGCAAGCCUGAUACAGCCAUGCCGCGUGUAUGAAGAAGGCCUUAGGGUUGUAAAGUACUUUCAGCGGGGAGGCGUUACCCGCAGAAGAAGCACCGGCUAACUCCGUGCCAGCAGCCGCGGUAAUUC
rnacentral:rRNA from 1 species